rnacentral:rRNA from 1 species
CGGCUGAUUAGGUAGUUGGCGGGGUAACGGCCCACCAAGCCUUCGAUCAGUAGCUGGUGUGAGAGCACGACCAGUCACACGGGCACUGAGACACGGUCCAGACUCCUACGGGAGGCAGCAGUGGGGAAUCUUGCGCAAUGGGCGAAAGCCUGACGCAGCGACGCCGCGUGGGUGAUGAAGGCCUUCGGGUUGUAAAGCCCUGUGGGGAGAGACGAAUAAGUCGGAGCCAACACCUCCGGCGAUGACGGUAUCUCCUUAGCAAGCACCGGCUAACUCUGUGCCAGCGGCCGCGGUAAGACAGAGGGUGCAAACGUUGUUCGGAAUUACUGGGCGUAAAGCGUGUGUAGGCGGCCGCGCAAGUCGGAUGUGAAAGCCCCGGGCUCAACCCGGGAAGUGCACCCGAAACUGCAUGGCUCGAGUACCGGAGAGGUUGGUGGAAUUCUCGGUGUAGAGGUGAAAUUCGUAGAUAUCGAGAGGAACACCGGUGGCGAAGGCGGCCAACUGGACGAGUACUGACGCUGAGACACGAAAGCGUGGGGAGCAAACAGGAUUAGAUACCCUGGUAGUCCUAGCCCUAAAC